CCGCAGGCUCCAGCGUGGGGGGGCCUGGCGUGGCCUCUGCCAUUCCUGCAGUGCUGCCAGAGUACACUGGGAACGUUUGAGGCCUCUCCCGGCGCUUCCCGGGAGUGGUCAUGGAACCCCCGGACACCC
ensembl:snoRNA